AAAUUGUCCCGAAUGGAAAAUGGAUUAGGCCUCUAGUUGUAACCAAAACCAAGGAUAAGGACCCACAAUCAGAUAUCCUAGCAACCUCAGCAUCACCACAUGCACUGCAACCAUCUAUCCACUAAUUGUUGAUUGAGCUCACUGAGAAGGUAGACCGGCCGAAAGAUUGAGCAGAUUGAGCGACGCAACAAGCGCCAUUAUGACUACUU